rnacentral:lncRNA from 1 species
UGUGAGAAAACUUACAAUACGUGUUAAUUCGUCGGAACGGUAAGACGUAUCGGAAAGAAAUUCGUGUUAAAUUUUAUAAGUGAAAUAUAAAUUUUGUGAUGAAGAAUAUUGCGAUAAUUAAACAGCACAAUGAAAAUGUUCCUCCAUGUUUUCUUAAUAAUUAUGCUGAUAAUGUUCAGUCUAAUAUCAUUUGGAAAGUCAAAAAGAGUCCAUCCAGCAACACAGCCUUCGUCUACGACCAACGCAUAUCCUACACCAACUGCACCACCUGCAAGGCCUACAGCUAAUAUUAUAGACACUCCGAAUUUUAAAGAAGUGAUUUGCCCACCAGGGAAACUAAAAGAUCCACGCGGAAUAUGUCGCGACAAGCAAUAGCAUUAAAGACAAGCAGGCUUAAUACUAUUUGAAUACUAUGUGAAACGUUCCACAUCACAAAAAUCACGCAUCAAACAAUACAGCAGAUGUGAAAAAUUAAUACAAGGGACAUAAAAUAACAUAUGACAACUUACAAAUGUGAAUAAAUAUUAAUUAUCACUAAUGAAGUCAAUUAUUCUGACGUUCUAUAUAUCUCCUGGAAUAAUCUGUAAUCUAUAAUAAUUUACAGAUGCUUAUGGUAACGAAAAGUACUAUAAGAAUUAUGUAUGUGUAAUAGUAUAAUAUGUUGGAACUGUAUGAAAAAUUAUUCGAUUAAAAAGUCUUAACAAAACCAAUUCAGCAAGAGACACAACAGUGUCUCGCGCCAAGUGCACGCGAGAGCGACGUGACGUGCAUGGGCCGCGAGACCGAUCGGGGUCUCUUUACGCGAAUCAAGAGACACAGCAGUGUCUCGCGCCAAGUGCACGCGAAAGCGACGCGACGCGCAUGGGCCGCGAGACCGGCCGGGUAUCUUUACGCGAAGCACUUGGUUGAUCGGACACAAGAUUAUCGUAUCACCCAAACUGCUAAUCUGAUCGAGUUCUAAGUGAGCUCAAUAAAUUCCUUGGAGUCGACUUACAUAACAACACUGUCUUUACUUUUAUCCUACGUGCACUAUUUUUUAGUAAAAAUUUCUAAAAUAAGAAACGUCAGCACGGUUUACUAAAAGUGCAUACAGGACAUAAAUUCAAUUUCCAAUCUCCUCUAAGAAGUAUGUAUCAAGUAAAAUGUUUCGGAAGACUAUGACCCGUCGAGAACAAACAACACAGUUCCCGCAUACUGCUGAAAUAUAUCCAACAGGUUAUAGUAUUCACCCAGGAUAUCAUUUUAUAGAUACCCCGAAUCUCAGAGCUGCGAUUUGUCCACCAGGGUAACUAAAAGACUCACGCGGUGUAUGUCGAGAUAUUGCGGGAUAAGCCAUAACAUUGAAGACAAGCAAAGAAUCUAAAUAUUUGAAGCAUAUCACAAAAAUUAUCAAACAAUACAACAGGUGCGAAGAGGUUAUUCAAGAAACAUAAAAUAACAUAU